CCCGCUUAGCUCAGAGGUUAGAGCAUCGCAUUUUGUAAUGAC
rnacentral:tRNA from 1 species